rnacentral:lncRNA from 1 species
GUAUUGCAACAUCUGGAACAACUUAGGCGACAAAAGGAGGCAAAAAAAAAUAAUGAAGAUCCAAAACGCCAUUUUCCAACAUGUGGACAUCCAAUGAAGGGGCAUACUAAAGAUAUAGAUUGUCCAAAAAACAGAACUUAGGCCUAGGUAUCAUGAAAGAAAAGCUUGCGUCAAGCAAAACAAAAAAGCUCUUUUAAGAGCUGCCACUUAAUAAAAGAAUAUAACGAUACCUCGAUAAUACCAUGAUCAUUGCACACAGUUCAUAAAUAAAUGGCAAAUGUUCAGUAUGUCAUAUUUUAUUCAUUAUACUUUAUAUAUACCAAAUAUUUCAAAGCUAUAGCUGUUCAUUCCCACGUAAUCCCUGC